rnacentral:lncRNA from 1 species
CUGCACAAAGGUUUAGUUCAUUCGUUUGCUGACCCUGUGAUUAGUGACGUGGAAGAAAGAAUCAGAAGAUGUCGAUGAGAGGAAGGACACCCUGCAAUCAAGCUAAGAGGGCUCAAUAUCACUAUCCAUUUGGAUUAAAUGUCAGUGUGACCUUGCUUGGACAGAAUUAAUGUCUUUGGUGUAUUCUGUUUCCUUGAAGCUUAGC